AUGACAUAAAUGAAUAAAUUACAUAUAAUGUUGAAAACUGAUGAAAAAGUGGGUUAUGCAUACUCUAACUCGAUAAGGGGCUAUCUGCCUGUGAUCAUGGCACUAUGGUUACUAUGCAUAACCAUUUCCCUCAAAAGAUGCCCUAGACUGCUUGAAUAUAAAGUGCUAAGGUGGACUCUGCUUUCUUUCAUGACUUAACCUUGAUUGACUGCAGAAGACAGUAGGUAAACUAGAAUAACCUUUACAAUCUUAUUCUUUGUGGCAAGCAGUGUGGCCCCAUCCCUCUUCCCAAACAGAAAGUAGUGUACAGUAGCCAUAGCAACUUGUCUAGUCAGUAUCAGCACACAGUCUUUUUACACGAGACUAUGAGCAUGUGCAUGUUACAUAUUUAAGGGUAGAUGUUCCUUCCCUUAUGUAAUUACUGUAAAAGUUAUAACAAGGACAGGUUAUCAGAAUCCCUAUGUCCGUUUGUCAUAGUACAAUCACCAUGCCUGUUGCAUGCUGCAGCAUAACCAGACAGGCAUGGCUACAAUUACACCUCUGACAUCAUGCCCAUUGCUGGUGUAAUAAAUAAGUAUAAAACUGACAAAUAUGUGUGAUGCUCUGAAUUACUGGUUGUGGAUCAGACCAGACAUGUUUCUUAUUUGAUACCUAAUGAACUCAUACUCAUAUUAUUAUGACUCUUCCAACCUAUCCCACCCUAUCUACCCACCAUUACCCUAGUGGGGCCAUUUGGGUACUUUAUUAGACAAAUAGUCAGUUAGUUAGUUAAGCUUUAUUUAUUCAGGAAACCUCACAAGACUACAACAAGAAUAUGAAUUUGCUCAAAACAACAAACACACACACACACACACACACACACACACACACACACACACACACACACACACACACACACACACACACUGCCAUACUGAGGAAUAUGUGUUUCUAACGUGUAGCUGUGUUGAAGUUCAGUAUUAGGUGCGUAGAACUGGAAACCGGUCUUCCCCAAUUUACAGUUUGUAUGAGAAACCUAUAAAGCCAAUGUUUCCUAUGAUCUGGUUCCAAAAUAAGCCAUUGCUAUUAGACGGAGGAGUUUUCUACCCCCCCCCGCUGCCCAAAUUCUUGACUGUUUGUAAACAGUAAACCUGUUUAUUAGAGAGUAAAAUGAAGCUAAUUAUUGUAUUCAUUAUCUUUGCUUACUAUAAGUUUUCUUAGACCCAGCAUGGUCUAGUUGCUCCAUAAUGAAACAAGGGAGCCGUACUUGCUGGAUUACUGAGUACCAGUUAUGACAGCGGCUCCACAGCACAAUGCUUUGAUACUGUCAUCUGUUGAUUCUGUGUUAGCUCACGCUUUCCAAACCUCCACACCAAAAUCAACUCAAAUCAGACACCAGCUCUCAUAGAAGUACUGCUGCCUUGGAGUGUGAUACAGGUGCUGUACAACGUGAUGUAUUAUAUUAGUCAAGACAGCAGUAUGUCUCUGCAAGCUCUGGCGAGAGAGAACAAUGGGAGCCUAUGACGUGUGUAAUGAUGCAUUAGAAAAGACAGUAGUAACUUUUUACAGUGACAAAACUGUCAUUGGGUUUAGAGCUUUUUUUGGGGCAUUUUUGCCUUAUAUAAUAGUAAAGACCUACAACAAGUGUUUAGAGUGAGGGGAGCCUUCCCACAACAAGGCCCCAGGGUUUGGACUUUUAAACUUUCCUACCAGCAUAUACAGUACUUCCCAGUCACACAGACGACUACACUUUGACAAAGUUAAUUCUCACCCCUUCAUCCCUGUGGUUUCAGAAUAACACAGUUGUUCUGUACCGUCCUCUAAAUGACUGUUAUUAUGACAGUGGAGGUUGUUAUUGAAGUACAGUAUGAUCACACCAUUUUAAGUUCACUGUAUGUAACAUUUCGCUGAGCUGGCAGGCUGACUAGAGAUCAUUUUUUUCAGUAGUUGCUAAUGGUUUAUCAUUGGGACCUUCAUUUGAUAAAUUCAUAUUUGACAUUGACACAUCAAUACAUUUAGAAUGCAAUCUGAUUAUCAUAUGUCUUAUUUGCUAAAGGUCCCCACUACAUC